rnacentral:rRNA from 1 species
AUUGAACGCUGGCGGCAGGCUUAACACAUGCAAGUCGAGCGAGCGGCGCACGGGUGAGUAUUGUCUGGGACACUGCCUCAUGGAGGGGGAUAACUACUGGAAACGGUAGCUAAUACCGCAUACCAUCAGAUGUGCCCAGAUGGGUUUAGCUAGUGGGUGGGGUAAUGGCACACCUAGGUGACGAUCCCUAGCUGGUCGGAGAGGAUGACCAGACACACUGGAACGGAGACACGGUCCAGACUCCUACGGGAGGCGACAGUGGAGAAAAGUGCACAAUGGGCGCGAGCCUGAUGCAGCCAUGCCGCGUAUGGGAAGAAGGCCUUCGGGUUGUAAAGCACAUUCAGUGAGGAGGCGGUACUCGCAGAAGAAGCACCGGCUAACUCCGUGCCAGCAGCCGCGGUAAUUC